GAUGAACGCUAGCGGCAGGCUUAAUACAUGCAAGUCGUGGGGCAGCAUGAGUAGCAAUACUUGAUGGCGACCGGCAAACGGGUGAGGAACACGUACACAACCUUCCUUCAAGCGGGGAAUAGCCCAGAGAAAAUUUGGAUUAAUACCCCAUAAUAUAUUUGAUAAGGCAUCUUAUUAAUAUUAAAGCUUCGGCACUUGAUGAUGGGUGUGCGGCUGAUUAGAUAGUUGGCGGGGUAACGGCCCACCAAGUCUACGAUCAGUAGCUGAUGUGAGAGCAUGAUCAGCCACACGGGCACUGAGACACGGGCCCGACUCCUACGGGAGGCAGCAGUAAGGAAUAUUGGACAAUGGACGAAAGUCUGA
rnacentral:rRNA from 1 species